rnacentral:rRNA from 1 species
UACAGAGGUCUCAAGCGUUGUUCGGAUUCAUUGGGCGUAAAGGGUGCGUAGGCGGCAGUGCAAGUCAGGUGUGAAAUCCCGGGGCUCAACCCCGGAACUGCACUUGAUACUGCGUUGCUUGAGUACUGGAGAGGAGACUGGAAUUUACGGUGUAGCAGUGAAAUGCGUAGAUAUCGUAAGGAAGACCAGUGGCGAAGGCGAGUCUCUGGACAGUUACUGACGCUGAGGCACGAAGGCCAGGGGAGCAAACGGG